rnacentral:rRNA from 1 species
AUGGGGAAUUCAAAAAGCACGGUUGGCGAACAUCAACCUGAAGAUGACGUAACUACAGGUCUUACACGCGGGAGAAGUGAUGCAGAACACAAUGCGAGCAUCAUACCCGUAGCUGAAAUUGUUGAUAACGUCUACUCGACGGAAUCAGUCCUUACGGGCGGGAUAAAUGUUGGAGACUACAAUGCAAACUUCAUACCCUUACAUGCAGGGCAGGAACCUUCAAACGACGGGAUUUCGUCGUAUUCUGAGAAUAAUAAGGAUGGUACGACUAAGCUACGAGAUGAUACUCAAGAUGACAAAACUUCCGAGCAGCACGCAACAGUAGCUGUAUUUAAUGAAGAAAAAAAAUGUUGGCGAAACAAGGGAGCAGUUCAACGCACAGAGGUGUGA